AUUCCCCUAGUAACGGCGAGUGAAGAGGGAAGAGCCCAAGAUUGAAAGCUGGCGUCUUCGGCGUCCGCAUUGUAAUCUCAAGAAGUGUUUUCCGCUUCGGACCAUGCCUAAGUCCCUUGGAAAAGGGCAUCAUAGAGGGUGAUAAUCCCGUACAUGGCAUGGAGCGCCCGAGGCUUUGUGAUACACUUUCUAAGAGUCGAGUUGUUUGGGAAUGCAGCUCAAAAUGGGUGGUAAAUGCCAUCUAAGGCUAAAUAUUGGGGAGAGACCGAUAGCGAACAAGUACAGUGAUGGAAAGAUGAAAAGAACUUUGAAAAGAGAGUUAAACAGUACGUGAAAUUGCCAAAAGGGAAGGGUAGGAGGUCAGAGAUGCGUCUUGGGAUUCAGCCUUGCUUUUGCUUGGUGUUUUUCCCAAGUUGCAGGCCAACGUCGGUUUUGGGCACUGGAGAAGGGUGGAAGGAACGUGGCACCUCUCGGGGUGUGUUAUAGCCUUCUACUGGAUACAGCGACCGAGACCGAGGACAGCAGCGUACUCGCAAGAGCGGGCCUUCGGGCACCUUUACGCUUAGGGCGUUGGCAUAAUGGCCCUCUACCACCCGUCUUGAAACACGGACCAAGGAGUCUAACAUGUAUGCGAGUCUUUGGGUGGCAAACCCAUAGGCGCAAUGAAAGUGAAUUCAGGUGGGAUCCGCAAGGUGCACCAUCGACCGAUCCUCACGUCUUUAAAGUCGUGGAUUUGAGUAAGAGCAUACCUGUUGGGACCCGAAAGAUGGUGAACUAUGCCUGAAUAGGGUGAAGCCAGAGGAAACUCUGGUGGAGGCUCGUAGCGGUUCUGACGUGCAAAUCGAUCGUCAAAUUUGGGUAUAGGGGCGAAAGACUAAUCGAACCAUUUUAAUAAUUACUAGGUGGUUAAGAGGUGGCUAAAAGGGCACACCUAGUGGGCGCUGAAGCUCGCGACACUGUCAAAUGCGGGGACACCCUAAGCUUUCAUACCAAGCCGGCGUGGAAACACAGUCGUGGCCGAGUUAACAACCCUGGGUAUGGUAAAACUUGAAGAUGUUACAUGGGCAUCCGCAGCCAGCUCUACGGCGUCAGCUAUGAGUGCAGUCACAGACUAGAUGCAGUGGUUUCGUCUUUUUUGGACGAGCUAGAAAUAGUCGUCCUCUCUCGAAGGACCGAGCAAGAUYCAGGUUCUCA
rnacentral:rRNA from 1 species